UCAUUUUAAUAAAACUCAUCGACGGACCAUGAUCGUCCUCUUUCCAAACCAGAUCCUCGAGUGAAUUAGUAGUGCGCGACGUGACUAGUUUAUCCAUAAAUUUGAGGCGAAAAUCAAGCUGGCAAAAAGGCAGUUUUUGUUCAAUAGUACGAAGUAGUGAAUAGUAUUACGCCAGCCAUUGUAGCCAUAAAAGCAUCAUUGUUCUAUUGUUUGCUUGUGAAGAGUUGUUAAGAAAAAGGUCCCAGCAAAGGACCUUUUUCUUUUUAUUUGGUGUUUUCCCAGAGCCCAGUCGGAAGUUCAGUGGUCCAUCAGCGAGAGCAAAUCGAGCUUUGGAAAGAAUCGAAAGUACGGCCUCUCUGUCGUCACGUUUAGCCGGAAAUCCUUCAGAAGCACUACCGUCGCCAUUGUUCUACGACCACGCGGUGGAUCCGCGGAGAAUCCGACAUACCACUGGGAAAGCCAUCUCUGUCCGGCCGUCCGCCGAAAGUUCAGCUAUUCUUCUUUC